rnacentral:rRNA from 1 species
GAGUUUGAUCCUGGCUCAGAUUGAACGCUGGCGGCAUGCCUUACACAUGCAAGUCGAACGGCAGCACGGGAGCUUGCUCCUGGUGGCGAGUGGCGAACGGGUGAGUAAUGCAUCGGAACGUAUCCUGGAGUGGGGGAUAACGUAGCGAAAGUUACGCUAAUACCGCAUAUUCUGUGAGCAGGAAAGCGGGGGACCUUCGGGCCUCGCGCUCUUGGAGCGGCCGAUGUCGGAUUAGCUAGUUGGUGAGGUAAAGGCUCACCAAGGCGACGAUCCGUAGCAGGUCUGAGAGGAUGAUCUGCCACACUGGAACUGAGACACGGUCCAGACUCCUACGGGAGGCAGCAGUGGGGAAUUUUGGACAAUGGGGGCAACCCUGAUCCAGCCAUGCCGCGUGAGUGAAGAAGGCCUCGGUGUAAGA